rnacentral:rRNA from 1 species
UACAGAGGCCUCGAGCGUUAGGCGGAAUCACUGGGCUUAAAGCGUGUGUAGGCGGACUUCUAAGUGCCUUGUGAAAUCCCACGGCUCACCCGUGGAACUGCUGGGCAUACUGGGAGUCUUGAGCCACCUAGGGGCGAGCGGAACAAAUGGUGGAGCGGUGAAAUGCGUAGAUAUCGUCUGGAACGCCGAAGGUGAAAACAGCUCGCUGGGGCUGCGCUGACGCUGAGACACGAAAGCCAGGGGAGCGAACGGG